rnacentral:rRNA from 1 species
GACGAACGCUGGCGGCGUGCUUAACACAUGCAAGUCGAACGGAAAGGCCUGCUUUCCCUUGUGGAUUGCGGGUACUCGAGUGGCGAACGGGUGAGUAACACGUGAGUGAUCUGCCCCCAACUUGGGUAUAAGCCUGGGAAACUGGGUCUAAUUCCCGAUAGGACUGCAGGGUGGUGCCUGUGGUGGAAAACGAUUUUCUAGUGGUUGGGGAUGAGCUCGCGGCCUAUCAGCUUGUUGGUGGGGUAAUGGCCUACCAAGGCGGCGACGGGUAGCCGGCCUGAGAGGGUGGACGGCCACAUUGGGACUGAGAUACGGCCCAGACUCCUACGGGAGGCAGCAGUGGGGAAUAUUGCACAAUGGGCGGAAGCCUGAUGCAGCGACGCCGCGUGGGGGAUGACGGCCUUCGGGUUGUAAACUCCUUUCGACCGCGAGGAAGCACCUGGUUGGAAGGGUGGUGACGGUAGUGGUAGAAGAAGCACCGGCUAACUACGUG